rnacentral:rRNA from 1 species
UACGUAGGGUGCAAGCGUUAAUCGGAAUUACUGGGCGUAAAGCGUGCGCAGGCGGUUCGCUAAGACCGAUGUGAAAUCCCCGGGCUUAACCUGGGAACUGCACUGGUGACUGGCGGGCUAGAGUAUGGCAGAGGGGGGUAGAAUUCCACGUGUAGCAGUGAAAUGCGUAGAGAUGUGGAGGAAUACCGAUGGCGAAGGCAGCCCCCUGGGCCAAUACUGACGCUCAUGCACGAAAGCGUGGGGAGCAAACAGG